UCACUUGUCUUUUAAUUAAAGGCUAGAAUGAACGGUUGGACGAAGUAUAAGCUUUCUUUAAUUUAAUUAAUGAAUUUAAUUUUUUAGUUAAAAAGCUAAAAUUUUUUUGAGGGACGAGAAGACCCUAUAGAUCUUUAUAAUUAUUAUUAUUAUAUAUUUUAGAUAAUUAAUUAUUAUUAUAAUAAUAAUUAAUUGGUUGGGGUGACUGUAGAAUUAAUAUAACUUCUAUUUAUUUUUUUCAUUAAUAAAUGUUUUGUUGAUCCAAUUUUAUUGAUUAAAAGAUUAAGUUACCUUAGGGAUAACAGCGUAAUUCUUUUGGAGAGCUCAUAUCGAUAAAGGAGUUUGCGACCUC
rnacentral:rRNA from 1 species